CUACUGAUGCUGUGGUUCAAAGCCCUCUUCCCAACAACUGGGAAUAAGUGUAAAGUGCCAUUUACCCUCUAGGGAUUUUUUUUUUUUUUUUUUUUUGGCCUAGGAAUUUGAGCUAAUGCAUAUGUUAAAAAAAUUGAGUAUUGUAUCACACGUCUGCUUAUAAAUAAAUUUAUUUCUGUAUGCAACUGUAAAUAUAAGCAUUUGCAUUAAAAAAAACCUUUACAGAAAGAAAGCAAACUAUAAUCUUCAAUUUGUGCUUCAGUCAUCUGGAUACCUGGCUUUGGGGCAUAGGGGUGGCAACUUUCAAGGUCUCAGCAUUAUAGCAAUGUGGGUAGAAUUAUGGAGCUCUGUUUUGUUUAUUUUUUCCCUCACUUUUAGUGAAAAUUUAUGUUCAUUUUAUUGCUUCUAAAACCCAUCAUAUCCAUGUGAAAUAUGUAUUAUGUUCCUGAAUUUAUGGAUGAGGAAAUCAAGGCACAGAAAAAUUAAGAAACUGUUCAAGUUCUCACCACUGGUAGAGCCAUAUCACAAACUGAGAUCUGUCUUAUUCCAAAGACCUAUGGUCUUGGGAGUUCUCUUGUGGUGCAGUGGGUUGAGAAUCUAGUACUGUUUUCGCAUCAGCUCAGGUUGCUCCUGUGGCAUGAGCUCCUGGCCUGGGAAUUUCCACUUGCCACAGGUGCAGCCAAAAAAAACAAACAGAAAGAAACCCUAACGACUGCAACUACACUUCUUCCCGCUGUUGGUCAGCCCUUCCCAGAAAAUCCUGGAAAGGAAAAAAAAAUCCUUUGCCAAGCAAGUGAAAGUAGAAUGUGGGCAUAAGAUGGUGAUGUUAGAAGCUGGCGCCUGGUGAAUAAAAGGUUUGGCUGAAGGGGACUCACAUGAGAGGAUGUCAGAAGUGACUUGGAAAAAAAAGGAGAAUUUUAAAAGUAGACUUUGCAGUCUUUAGAGGUACCUUCGCCCAGAACCUACAUCAACCACAAAGUGUUCAGUGCAAGGUGCAGAAAUGAGUUCUGGGUAGCAUUAUCCCAAACACAAUCUCCUUCCUAAAAUAAUGGAUAUUGUGAGUUCCUACGGAUGCUGGAUGCUGUCUUUGUACCAAGUGGGGAGGAUACUUUGAACCUGCAGCAUUGUGCACACUGCGCUGAAACACUGGCUUAAUAAAGAAGGAGGGAGGGGAAGUGGAUAAAGAAAUACAGAUGUGGGGAGGGAUAAAUUAGGAGUUUGGAAUUAACAUAUACACUCCACACUACAUAAAACAGAUAACCAAUAAGGACCUACUGUAUAGCACAUGGAACUCAAUAUUUUGGGAAAGACAUCUAUAAGUGAAACCUAUAAGGGAAAAGCAUCUGAAAGAGAAAUAUGUACAUAUAUCUGUAUGAAUAUCUGAAUCACUUUGCUGUAUACUUGAAACUGACACAACAUUGUAAUCAACUAUACUUCAAUUAAAAAAAAAGAGUUAUAAUUUUAUCUGUUUUUGUAAAGUCAAAAGAAGGAUCAUGAGGGUUUCUCAGAAAUCACCCCAUGCUUUGGAAACAAGUUUAUCAAACAUCUUGGGCAGAGCCUGUAAACCGAGGGUUACCCCGCAGCCCAGAUUCGCAGAAAGAAUGCUGCUCCAUUCUCUACAUUGAGUUGAAUCUCUGAGAGCUCGCCUAUGCCACAAUUUUCUCUCUCCCAAUACUGAAAAGCCUCUACUCUUAAUUGAAUCCUUAAAUUUUUAGAAGCCUUAUGCAUAUUGAGUUGCGAAGCUGGCCAGAUUGCAUGUACUAAAUUCAGGAAUUGCUGACUUUCAGUGCUGUUUUUCCAAGGCAAUUGUCCUCCUGAGAGGCAGGAAGUAGCCAGGCACCUAAUCAACUACCUUCAAAACAAUUCAAACCUCACCAUCUUCCCUCCCACCCCCAAGUAAAAUGCAUCACAUCCCCUGGAGCCAACUGAACUUCCUCUUCUAUUUUACAAGCCACAAUUUCCUUCUUCCACAUAGUGAAAAACUACCACUUUUCUUGGCUUCAUUAAAAGUCUUGGUUUCAAAAGGGACAUUCUAUACAUUUGUAGCAUUUCUGAAAAAUCUACACCAACAGCUUUUGAGUUUUGGAAGUUCACAGGCAAGCACUAACAGACUCAGUCUCCAAGUGAAAAAAAUCAACCCUCUUAUGAUGCUCCCAUUGCUUCUUAGAAGUAGGUUCUGGGGAAAGUCUAUGUUUCAUGGACAGCCUACCUCAAAGCUAGCGAUUUGGUUAUGUUUUUCUUUCAGCUGGGAAAGGGCAGACUCGGGGAAUCACCUCAUUCUGACUCUUCACCUGACAGUGCCUCAACCACCUCUCUUGUCCCUCAGCCACACGCCUAAUAAAGGAAUUUGCAAAGGGAAUAUUGUUGUGUAUGAAUGCAGAAGCUGAGUGGCCAAUUCAAUGGUGUUCUUGUGAGAGUCAUUAAAAUGUCACCAAGGCCUCCUCCUUUCUCUCUAUCUCCCUCAUCUCCUCUCUGCCCCAUCCCAGGUGUGCAUGCAGAGACACUAGUGCAUCUUCAGGACAUAGCCUUUUCUCUAGAGGAAGCCCAUGAAACGGUGCAUUAUCAUCCUUGGCUUAGGAGGAACAUGCUGUGUUGCACCACACCAUGGAGCGUGCGUUUUUCCUUCUUCCCAAAAUUGUUUUGCUUUCAAUCAGCUGGGAAAUGAAACUUAAGUAAAAGGGUAACAACAGAAAAACAAAUCAGAACUCAGUGGUUACUGUUAGGGUAGCUCUCAGAGACUGGAGGGGGUAGAUUUAUUUUUAUUUUUUAUUUUUUGCUUUUUAGGGCUGUACUCGCGGAACAUAGAAGUUCCCAGGCUAGGGGUUGAAUCUGAGCUGCAGCUGCCAGCCUGCACCACAGCCAGAUCCAAGCCCUGUCUGUGACCUACACUACAGCUCAUGGCAAUGUCAGAUCCAUCACCCACUGAGGGAGGCCAGGGAUUGAACCUGCAUCCUUAUGGAUACUGGUUGAAUUCUUUACCGAUGUGCCACAACAGGAAUCCCCAGCUUGUGAUUUUAUGUCAUCAAGAUAAAUGAUAGACAUGUGUGUAAUUGGAUGCAAUUGACCUCCCCUUCCCCUGAGUUAUUGAAACAGGUUGUAUCUUGUGUUCAGACAUAGGUUGAGGAAGUGUCAGGGACAAUGGCAUGGCAGGGCUUUCCGAGUUCCUGCCCCUGGGAUCAUAUUUCUGUAGCCGAAAUGUGGCCUCCGCCUCUGUGCAUUGGCACAAAUUAAGUCUCGGAGAAAGAGUUUUAGGUGAAGCAGAAAGAACAGCUUAAUUGCUUUGCCAGGCAAAGGAGGCCAUGGCAGGCUAAGGCCUCAAAACUGUGUCCUGUCUUGAGAGGAAAUAACAAAAGGUUUUAUAGAUUUAGCUCAGAAGACAGGGUUAUUGAUUAAGGUGUCUAUAUUAUUCUCCCUCCAUAGAUCAUUUCAGAGUCGUUGGGUCCAUCGGUCAGUCCAGUGAUGGUUUUGAAACUGACAAUACUUAUGACUUGAACCCAGCCAGCAGAUUGGGACUUGAACCCAGCCUAAACCCAGACUGGGACUUGAGCCCACGUGCUGGGACUCGAAUUUAGCCAAAAGUCAGAUUGAGACUUGAACCCACAGUUUUUAAAUUAGAGUCACUCACCUGGUGUCUGGACUUACUGAGGUUCAGGUUCUUUGUGCCUCAGUGCAGAAGGAAUUCAGCAAGAGAGAAAGUGAUAGGCAAGAAAUAGAUUUAUUAAGAUGCUUGUGAGAGAUGCAAGCAGGCAGGCAAGGAGGCUCUGCCCUAAGGAUUAGGUGGGCUACAGUUUUAUCAUCCAAGAGAAAUGGGGGUGGCAAAAACCACCUCUUUCUCUUUCUUCAAGUAGUAGCUUCUCCUUGGUAUCCGGUAUCAGAGUAUUUGACCCUAUAAGGUCAAACUAGGACUGUCAUGGUGCUUAUUAAAAACAGCAGAAGGGUGGUCCUUAAAUUCCUGCCCUUGGUCUGAACCUGAAUGCUGGCCUCGCCCCAUCCCCACCCAAUGGCCUGAGGUGCAUAACUGGCACCUCCACCAGUCAAGCAAGCCUGCCUCCUUCUGAAAGCCCUCUGGAGUGAAGGCCCUCCGGAGCGAUCACCAACCCACAAUGAUCUCCCAAAGCUCCCCAGGCCCCCUCUCUCCAUCCAUGGUUCCCCACUGGGACCACCCCCCCGCCCCACCCCCAACCACCACCCAUGCAACUAUCCCACUCCAUCCCUAUCCGUUUCUGGCUGUCUUUGGGGUUAUCAUUCCUUGACCUUCUCUUUGGAAAGAAGAUUGCUCACAGGGAAGUGGCGAUAGGUGGUGUUCCAUUACAGAAGAAAAACUAGAUGCAAUAAAACACUGGGUGCAGUAACUCUAACUAGAAAGUAAACAUUAGCAAUACGUUUGUGUGUCCAGGCAGGGCAUAACAUAAUGGAAGUGGUUUUAACUAGUUUUGUUUUUUAGCUGUAACAAAAUUUCCUAAUGAUUAACUCCGGAGUCAGUCUUUUGAGACUGAGGGGAGGCCUGGGAGGUGAAAGGAAAAGCCUUUUACUUCAAAACAUAAGGACUCAGGCGUUUGUACAUGGUUUCACUUCUGAGAUACAAUGAUUCAGACUCUAUAGGUCUUUGAUGCCAUCCAGAUCUCACAUAGGGAUAACACUCUGAUUUGAGGGAGU
rnacentral:lncRNA from 1 species